rnacentral:sRNA from 2 species
GUGCGGUGCGUCUAGGGUUCCGGCUCGUCUUCAUCCUUCAAGGUGGGACGGGUGGCUGGUCCGAGAGACGCACUCCCCGCCGGCCGGCGGGGAGACACGGCGGGCCAAAAUCCCGGGAGAA